GCUCGGUAAGAUUCAUAGCUUUCAUUACAAACAAACUCAAGGCCCAUCUGCACGAAGAUGCGCACAAACUACCUGCCAACGUGGCCCACCCUGACGUGCACCACCAUGGGCCCCAGUGCAGCUCUGGACAGACCCUGGGGGACACACAGCACCAUCCUGCCUUGCCUCGUUCCUCCUCACCCCUCGGCUUCACUUCUUUUCAAUCCAGGUUUCCAGCAGCAAGGCCAGCCCAGAGCCUUCCCCUGGAAGGAGCUGCGGUUCCUUCCCCAUUCCCACAAGCCAAGAUAAGCGCUCAAGGGGAGCCGCCGGCCCACAGGCACUCCCAGUCGGACACAGCCAGGCCCGGAGGCGUUCAAUCCCCGCUGGGAGGCAGCUUGGCAAGCGCAGAAGAUGCUGGUGAUGCCCAGGAGUGCGUUAUGUCAGCACGGUGGCGGCGAGGGUCACAGGCCAAGAAGAAAAUUGCAAAAGGAAAACAACGGAACGUGCAGAGCGCUGCUCCCUUUGCGGCGCCGUCCCACGCCAUGCACACAAAGAGGGCUGCGGGCCCAACGGGCUCCUCCUGCCCCGACCUCCAGCCUCCGACCGCACCACGCAGACGGUAGAUUCGGGAUGGAGAGCUGCCGACGGCCGGCUACGGCCACGCCACCAUCCCAGCGUGCAGCCCUCAAACUUCAGCGUCACCCCCGUGUCACCCGCUGUCAGCAACUCCGAGCCGCAGUCCUGCCGGCAGCGAUCUGGACGGGGAGCGGCACUUCGGACCCGGACGGCGCUCUGCCAAAAAUCGGCAUCACCCCAACGCUCGGCCCCAAAGGUCACGGCGGGCAGGGAUGGGAAGCGACGCGCACGGCUCGCUCGGAGCGGAAGGCGCGGGGCUGCGCGAGGCAGGCAGCCGAGGGACCGCGCGCCGGGUGACCGCGGACACCCACGCAGCGCCCACCCCUUCGGCUCGCAGCGUCCCGCCGCAGCCCCGCGGCGGUUGGGGCCGCUCAGCGCAAAGCCCUCACAAAGCGCUCAUUACAGGAAGCAAAUCUGCAGAUGAAAACACAUGAAAUAGAACCAGAUCCCGCCAGAGCAUCAAACAUGAAAUAUGCCAGCGCCGCUCCACAGACAGCAUAAUCAAUGCCCUUCUUCCCACAGCAAAACCACCGAAAUUCUUUGUUCCUGUGCAGAGUUGUCCCAAAUCUACAGUUCAUCACUUCAUCCGGCAGAUGAGAUACCCCCACAGAAGCCAUGUGAGUGAAACCAACUAAUUGCCAUCUGAGAACGGGAGCAUACAGACAGACAAUAAAGUAGAGGAACACAUACUCAUCAUUAGCAGAAUGUGCUGGAAAAUAACAACCCAGGCUCUUCAGUCCUUAUCCCAAAGGAGACCUGCAAAAGACUCCCAGAAGGUAAAUCUCAACCCUCUCUUUGCUCAUGGUCCAGCAGAGAGCCGUCAGCUUGUCACUCACUCCUGCUCACACGCCUUUGCACUCCAUAGGUGUUCCUUUUUUUUUUCCUCUCAAGUGGUCAAAUUGAUUAAUAUAAUUAGAUUAAACUAAGAACAAUUGCAUCUAGCCUGUAGUUAGCCUGAAUUUUGCUGCUUUCUGUCAGAUCUGAUAAAGAGACCCUGAGCCCGAUAGCUUGUUUGCUUUUUCCAGCCAUAUCAGCUGAUCUAAUAAAAGAUAUUACCUUUCUCCACAAACCUUGCUUCCCUGGGAUCCUCAGACCAUCACAGCUACAAAAACAACACUGUCUCGCCUUCUCUAACUGAUUCUUCCAGAUUCUCUUAUCUAUGAAAUAGAAUAUGAUAAAAUGUGUUUUGUUUUGUAUCGAUUCUUAUGCUGUUUUCAUAAUCAUAAUAUUCAAGUACGGUCGAGGACUACAUUAACUGAUCCACGUAACAUCUGUCACAUGUGGGGCUUGGUUUUCUUUGUCUUGUUCUCUCCCCAGGAAGAAAAUGAUGUGCAGAGCAGUGUUUUGGUUUUGUGAGGUUUUUUUUUCUUUUUUUCCUCCUCUAUUCUUGUUGCUCUGUAUUCAUACCAGGGAAAAUGAGGACGACGGCAAUUUCUGUGCUAGACUUUAUUUCCCAGGGAAGUUAAUUUCACAGUGUUGAGGCACCCAUAGAAAGAUGUCUCCUGCACAAAGGAACGUUAAAAUAUGUUAUGCCCAACCAAAGAAAAGCUAAUCUGUAUUCUUGACAUCUGGGACAGAAACAUCCAAAAAAAGAGAACGGCAUUUCCCUUCCUCCAGAAAAGGAGUUUCAACCUGUGGUCCUAAGGCUCCAGCAGAUUGAGGCAGAUUAUUAACAUAUACAGGGCAGUGCUCUACACAGCUAUAAAUAGGAAUAUCUGGAAACCAAAAGGAGUAAUGUAUCUUCUGAUUGCAUUGAAACAGACCGCUAUAGGACAGCUUGAAGGGAAACAGUGGGAAUAAACUAUUUCAUGUGAAAACACAGAGAGCAUUUCCUCCUACGUGAGGAGUCACACCACUGUUCCUCAAAGAGGAACCCUGAGUAAUCCCACAUGUUUGAGAGGCAGAGGUACAACAUGUGAGCUUCUGAAAGGCAGGAACUGAGGUGAAGAGAGGAAUCAUUUGUGCUCAAGUACUGAAAGCAGAAAUACCAGAAGACCUCAGGGAGACAGUAGACAGCAGAUUUAAUAUGUUUUUGCAAUGUUAUAUGGCAGCAAAAAUCAUGCAGUUAAUUUAAUUUGGGGUUGUAAAGGCAGAGACCUCUUCUCAGAGAUAUAGGCAAUAGUCCCAUUUUUUAAUAUAGCGGUGAGACCACGGUUUGAAGACAUGUUUAGAUCUGGACAGCUCAGUACAAGCUAGAUGUCAACGACUUGGAGGGAAAUAAAAAAAAAAAGAACAUAAAAUGAUAAAAAAGCUGGAAGGGAUUACAGUGUGUGUAGGUUGGCCAAAUAACAACUGUGAAGAGCAUCAUGGGAAUUGCGUAUGAGAACUUCAGGGGUGCAGAAGCACCAGGGAGCGAGAAAGACUGCUUAGGGUUGUCUGAGGGAGUGUAAAUGAUAUCAGUGUAAAUGAAAUUAAGCAAAAUAAGUAUUAAUCUGCAAAUCUGCAUGACAGCAUCCCAGAGGAGCUCCCAUCACCCAAUUCAUGGAAGACGAUUAAGAAGCAAUGUCUGCGGGAAGAGAUUAGAUGGGGACAGCAUGCCUUGGGGAUGUCCCACUUCUGACUGCCUAACUGCUUGCUAACUACAGUAUUUGCAGAGCAGGAGGUCUCAACCCUGUACAUGGGGGAAACUUUCUCAACAGCAUUGCUGUAGAUCAUAAUAGCCGAGCUUGGUUCCAGCAGGUAGCUAUGGAGGGAGUGCAGUACUUAAAGAGAUCUAAGGGGUGAUUGUAUCCUCAGAACAUUUCCUUUUCACCACUGUGAUUUUCUGGAGAUGUCCCUGGUUCAUCAUCUGGUCAGGACAACAAUGACAGCACUCCUUUGUUUAGUGUUGUUGUCAUGACAUUCUCUUGGAUCACACAGACCUUCCAAAAGCUGUCCUGGACAGCACCCACCUCUUCCAAGAAGUCUGUGGCAUCCAUAGACAGCAGCUAAUUGAGAUGAAAAUAAAUAAAUAAAUAAAUAUAUCGGAGCUUUUAUUAUUCCUUAAUUAGAGUAAGGAGAUCAAAGUAUCUGCUUUUCUAACACGGUAGGAAAGCCAGCCUGAACUUGCACCCAUGCCACCUUUCUAUCACAUUGUGCCACCACAUAAUAGGAGACCUACAGCAUAGAGUGGCCGAGCAAGGGCUGACGCAGCCUGCUGCUGCUCUUCCUGAAUGUGCCACACACACAAUGCUUUAAAAAAAUAAAAAAGCCCAGACAAUUUUAUAAAUGUUCUAUAAUGAGUUUGAACAUCUUUCCUUUCCUUUCUGGGUCUGUAUUUUUUUAACAACACCCUUAGGGAGGCAUUGCAGUGAUAAUUAUCAGUCCAAGCAUACACAAAGCACACAAAGGUACCAUAUCCUGUAAUUGUUGACCUUAAACAGCUUUUCUAUACGUAGAAAUGUAAUGAUCUCUGUGAAGGAAACCUCUCUACUUAUUUAUUAAAAUGAAUACCGUGGCCUGACACACACAGGCAAACACGAGUGCACUAAUAUCUUGGUUUGAGGUUGUCCUGUAAUUAACUGCUGAAGCACACACUGAAAUGAGUCCAUCACUCGCCCGUAUCUCGGGGACCUCUGGCUGCUUCGCUCACACUCUGCCUAAUGGCUGUCUCAGGACAACACCUGCCACAAACCUCUCUCGUUUCAUGCACUUACCUUGCGAGGUUGGUGUUUGGUUUUUGUUUCUGAUCAAGAGGAAAGUGUUUUCUUCUUUCUUUUAAAUGUAGCUUUUCUCUGGAGGUAGGACAGGCAUUGUCAGCUCUGAAAAUUCAAGAUUAAUCAAGCAAUUAAGAAUUGAUAUCUAGUGACUUAUCAUGACUAGAAAUGAGAGAUGCUGCAUUCAUUUUAGCUCUACAUGAACCCAAAAUAGCUAACCUGAUUUUUAUGGACAGCGAGAUUAUUUUAAAUCUACUGGGGAGGAGAAGAAGAGCUACAGCUCCCUUAUUAAACUGAUUUCUCCAAAACCCACACCUGCGUUUCGCACACUGCCUAGCAGAGCAGGGCUGCACAGAGCUGUUCUGAAGAGCCGCUGUGCUCCAGGCUCAGACCCUGCCUUGACCUCAGUGAGUCUGAAAGCCUACAGAAAUCCCGAGGGAGCAAAAGCUGAGCUGAAGUUUUACUUUCUCUUCCCCACGUGCUCACAGAGCACAGCCCUGUUUGAAUAAAUAACCCAACCAAGCAGGAAUUGCAUCACACCACGGCUGUGGUUUCUUUCAAAUGUUCAAAAGAAUGGCAAGCAUUCCCAUUCACAGAAUGAUCACAGCACCUCUUCUUGUGCCUCUCUCUUGCCCGGAAGCUCGGCGCUGGCACUGAGGGCUUCCCCAUCUUCUCUUCCCUGAGCAGAGUGCUGUGACGAGCCACAGCCAUUUGCUCUGCCUGCCCUAAGCCCUCUCCACCAGCCCAGGAGAUUCUUCAGCAGUUAAGACCUUCUGGGAUGGAUGUGCAGUAACUCAUCACGUCCCCUCCAUAAACAUUUAUUUGGGGAAUUACAGCAUAAGUAAUUGGGCUUUCCAUGGUAAUUUGGCUUUUACGAGCUCUCCUUAUUGCCAAAAUGGUGGAUACCUCCAUAAGAGAGAGCAGUAACUUCUGCAGCUCAGUGACCUCUGUGAGCAGACCUCAUCCAGGCAAAUGGGAGCCCCGAUCAAUACCUGCACAAGAAACCAAUGAUGAAAGAAGAGUGCUGCUGAAACAGGUGCUGGAGACCCAGGAAGAGACUUUUUUCCCCUAUACUUUAUAAAACCGAAAGGAGCUUAAUAAUUCCUGCUUACCCAGCUGCUGGCUCCCACCUUGACAGCCUGAUUGGAAUAAGAACGUAGGAAGCUGAAUUUUGCUCCUGACUUUACUUAUGACCCUCUGCCAUUUUGGAAAAGUCGUUUAACCUCCUGAGUCUCCGUUUCCUCAUGUAUGAAGCUGAAAUAUCAUACUGAGUCUUGCAAGGACACUUGACAUCUUUGAUUUUAAUGGCAUGUGUCAGCGUAAAGCACCGCUGGUGGCAUUACAAGGCUAAUUCCCUCGCAACUGCAGUACAGGUAUUUUGGGUACAACUAUUACCCCUGGGAGUGCUCAGAAAUCCUUGCCCCAAAUUGUAGGCCUAACAGUCUUUCAGAUGGGAUAGAAAACAGAGGUUCUAACUGGUUACCUAAAGGCACGUUUCGAAGAAGCCCAUGUGUUAGCCUUUCCAUGUUCAUGCUGUUCCAAUUUGGGCAAUUACAUUCUGACUGCUUAAAGCAGGGGAGCCGACUUGCCUGGCCCUACCAGCUGUAUAUUCCAAUCUUCAUGUGGCCAAGAGCUAUGGAACACAAGCCACGUAUUUCAGAAGGAAAAGUGGAGCUCUGGGAGAUGCUCUUAUGUCAUGGACGCAAAGGAGGGGAGCCUGCCCUGUCUUCAUCACCUCUCAGGGGCUGGUGGCACUUGGGCUGCAGUGCAGAGCUGUGCGGGGCCAGAGGCACCAUCCAUACGGGCAGAAGGCAGCCCUGGCUGGGACGGCUAUGCAUGGCUCGAGGUGCCCACCUCGAGAGGCUGGGGGCCUCCAGGGGCAUGCGGGCAGGCAGGGGACAGGAGAGGGAGCAGAGAGGACCUAGGGCACCAUCUGGUGGCUUCACUCACCGCCUUCCCUAAAUCCCUGACACACAGGGUCACAGCCCUUGCAUGGCUGAGGACUGGAGAAACACCAGACUCUGCGGAGACAUCAUCCAGCAGGAAGAUGGGACCCCUGCCCUUGGCCCUUUGGGCAUUGCUGGGUGGGAGAGGGGUCCAAAUAGAGCUGCAGUAGCCAUUCCACUUGGGUGCUUUUCAGUAAGUGCCUCCUUUCAUAAAAAGACUCAGCCCAAACUAGGUCUUUAGACACCUGCCAUAGAAGUGUUUAAUGUCAAUGAUACCCCUGAGAAGGGAAAAGAUGAUGAUCGGAAGACGACAGCAAUGAAAGAGAACACAGUGGACAACACGUUGGUCAGGCAUUUUGUUUCAGUCACCUAUCACAACACGCUCUUUGUUGUCCACAGAUAAAAGGCAAAACGUGGUUGGUGUAUUUCAUACCAGAAAACAGCACCCAUGCAAGAGUUUGUUCUCUACCAAAAAGGAUGAAAAGAGUGAACCACUCAUAUGCGCUCAGCUUUUUGCCUUCUGAAAGUAGGAUUUGCUGGAAAGCGUUGUGAAGGAAUUGUUUGAAAGGGACUAGGUGGCCUCAGUGUCACCAACAACCCUUAGAGCAGUGCCAGCUAAGACAAUACGGAGAGGAUCAUCACAGUGGGAGGCUGCAUCUUAGGACCAAAAGCUCUCUCUUGGUACAGAGGAUAAAGGGCCCUGUGUUAAUAUGGCACCUCCUUUACAAGAAAACAGUGUGUUUUCCACCUUUGCACCACCGCUUAUUUUGAUAACGUCUCCACUUCCUGAAAUCCUGUCAAUACAAAGGGGUAAUUUCUCUUAGCUUUCCCACCACCUGGGAAUCAAAGAUUACAGCUCUGCAACCUGAGAGCAUGUUCUGUGUGUAACUGCACCACGCUGGGGAAAGCGAGCAGAGCUGUGGCCCUCAGGGACAUCGUUUUCAAGAGGAAUCCAUUCUCACAUUCAAUUUAGGAAUAAACACAAUAAGUCCGUCAUCAAGUCUCACUUGUGUGGAGCAGGGGUAGAUAAUCCUUAACUUCUCUUCUUUGUAUGCUUCAUUAUCAUUAUUAUUAUUAUUUAUAUUGUCCACACUUAAAACAAUCUCUUUCUGCAUCUAUUCUCAGAGACCAUACAGACAAGAAGAGCAAACGACUGCCUUUUUUUUUUUCUUUCUUGAACAAACCUUUGCUAUAAAGAAACUGCAUCAAUAUUAUAUAAAUUAUAUUCACUGGUUUCUCCUACCUGUGCCAGAGGGCAUUUCCUCAUACCUCCUUGGAAAACUCUGUACCAUUUAUAAACAACUCUUCUCUCACCAUCUUCUACUUUACACCUUUCUCUCUCACACACUCUGGGCGGCUGCCCACAGUGCACAAUGCUAGAGAAGUGAUACUAGCUUCAGGCUACGCAGCUUCCAAGCUUCCUUUUUCUCAAGCAGCAGUCUUUUAGCCUCACAGAACCAAUCCCAAACCCAUUGAAAUCAACACAGCAACUCCUCCUGACUUUGACAGGCUCUGGCGCACAGCCCAAAUCCCCAGACUUUCAGCGUUUCUUGGACAUUUUUACUUUUUCACUUGAUUGAUCGGAACCGGUUGGGAUUCGUUCAGUACUUGAGCACUGACUGUUCUAAAAUAGCCCUCCUAUUCCAAAUAUCAUUCCUUUUCUUAUGUUUCAUCUUAAACACCUACUGCUACUUAAUAUAUAGAAUUGUUCAGACAUAAAUGUAAGGAACGCUAUUUAAUAGAAAGGCAAAGCAAAACACUUCGCUGCAGAGUGAGAUCUUUGCCAGGAAAUUUGCAGCACUAUUAUUUUUAGCACGUAUAAAAUUUAAAAAGCAAAACACACACACACACAAAGAAAAAAAAACAAAAAACAGCCCAAACAAACGGCAUUAUUUUGAAAACUUAAACCUUUCAUCUCAACCAGCAGCUUCUUCAGAAUGUUUUAUUGCCACACUACAACGUAUUUAUAUUUCAUCUCAUCAUUUCUUCAAAUUUGUUAAGGAAAGGUGAUAUUAUACCUGCACAAUCCCCUGUUUCUGUUUUUGUUUUGUUGUUGUUGUUUUCUGAGAAAUGUUUUUAUCCCAAUUGCUAUUUCUGGUCACAUUACCAAAUACUAAAACUGCUGAGUUCAACAAUUUUUAGUUCUAAUUAUUGUGAUCACCUAACAACUGGCAGCCAAGUCUAGUGAGACACACUGUCUAUUUGUUGCUCUUUCUGAAAUGAAUUCCUCAACACUGGGAAGAGAAAAAGCGUUUUCCUGUGGUUUAAGAAAGUCCAAAUUGCAUGUCUGAAAUCUCUUCUAAUAAAAAGAGCAAAGCAAUAAGCGGAUUAUCUCUUUAAACAUAGUAUAGGAAGGUUGGAGGCCCUGGAGACAUUUUCCAUAGCCUCUAUCUCUGAUGCAUAGCAACAUUAUCUUCAAGUAGAGAGGGUCCUAUGACCCUGGAGCUCUGUUUUAAUUUGAUCUUCUUCUUUAAAGAGGUUUCUAUGAUUCCUCUCAAGUUAUGCUACAUAUUCUUAUUUUGGGUUGGUUUUGUUUGGUUGUUAUUUUGUUGUUCUUUUUUAAUCUGAGAUAAAACGGCCUCAGCUUUUUGAUCCGCUGGUUUGAUCGCGUUAUAUGGAUAUUAAAUGUAACCUUUUCCCUACCAGAACUGGAAUAUGCAUCAGCACAAAAGGUAGGCAAGUUCCAGCUGACAGGAGAGAGAGCUUGGGUAGAAAAUUCACCUUGAGGGUCUCUCUCCUCACUCCGGUCAUUCUAAGUUUGAGAACUGGUCUAUCUGCCCGAAUAAUCUAUGAGGGAAAACAAAGCAAAACAAAACUUCUAUCUUUGUUGGGAAAUAAUGGCUGGCUGAAACAAAGGC
rnacentral:lncRNA from 1 species